AUUGAACGCUGGCGGCAGGCUUAACACAUGCAAGUCGAGCGGGGUGAUGGUGCUUGCACUAUCACUUAGCGGCGGACGGGUGAGUAAUGCUUAGGAAUCUGCCUAUUAGUGGGGGACAACAUCUCGAAAGGGAUGCUAAUACCGCAUACGUCCUACGAGAGAAAGCAGGGGAUCACUUGUGACCUUGCGCUAAUAGAUGAGCCUAAGUCGGAUUAGCUAGUUGGUGGGGUAAAGGCCUACCAAGGCGACGAUCUGUAGCGGGUCUGAGAGGAUGAGCCGCCAAACUGGGACUGAGACACGGCCCAGACUCCUACGGGAGGCAGCAGUGGGGAAUAUUGGACAAUGGGGGGAACCCUGAUCUAGCCAUGCCGCGUGUGUGAAGAAGGCCUUAUGGUUGUAAAGCACUUUAAGCGAGGAGGAGGCUCUUUUGGUUAAUACCCAAGAUGAGUGGACGUUACUCGUAGAAUAAGCACCGGCUAACUCUGUGCCAGCCGCCGCAGUAA
rnacentral:rRNA from 1 species